AAUGAACGCUGGCGGCAGGCCUAACACAUGCAAGUCGAACGGAUCCUUCGGGAUUAGUGGCGGACGGGUGAGUAACGCGUGGGAACAUACCCAAAGGUACGGAAUAGCCUCGGGAAACUGGGAGUAAUACCGUAUGUGCUCGAAAGAGGAAAGAUUUAUCGCCUUUGGAUUGGCCCGCGUUGGAUUAGGUAGUUGGUGGGGUAAUGGCCUACCAAGCCGACGAUCCAUAGCUGGUUUGAGAGGUUGAUCAGCCACACUGGGACUGAGACACGGCCCAGACUCCUGCGGGAGGCAGCAGUGGGGAAUCUUAGACAAUGGGGGAAACCCUGAUCUAGCCAUGCCGCGUGAUCGAUGAAGGCCUUAGGGUUGUAAAGAUCUUUCAGGUGGGAAGAUAAUGACUGUACCACCAGAAGAAGCCCCGGCUAACUCCGUGCCAGCCGCCGCGGUAA
rnacentral:rRNA from 1 species